rnacentral:antisense_RNA from 1 species
CUUCAACGAUCCCAGCCACAACGGCCGGUCCCGGUCCUUGCCGUACGUGGCCAGCAGGGCCUCGGCCUC